CUACCUGGUUGAUCCUGCCAGUAGUCAUAUG
rnacentral:rRNA from 4 species